rnacentral:tRNA from 1 species
AGUACACAUCGUUGUGGCCGAUGAAACCCUGGUUCGAUUCUAGGAGAUGGCA